rnacentral:misc_RNA from 1 species
GGACGAUAGGGUUUGGGAUUGCAUAUACACCCACGAUCUCAGCUCCGGCCACCAAUUAGAUGCAAUUCUCAGCCUUGUAUUUACAGAUUAACAGUGCAAUUGAGAGCAAAAUUAAAAAAAAAAAAAAAGUGAAAAACUUUGGAUGAAGAUUUGAACUUGUCAGUUUACUUGAAGCUGGAAACCCUAGAAUAGNGACUGAAGCCUGAAGAUAAACAGCUACUGCGAACAAAAUUUAAAAGCGAGGGAAACUCAAA